rnacentral:rRNA from 1 species
UACGGGGGGGGGAAGCGUUGUUCGGAAUUACUGGGCGUAAAGGGCUCGUAGGCGGCCAACUAAGUCAUACGUGAAAUCCCUCAGCUUAACUGGGGAACUGCGUGUGAUACUGGAUGGCUUGGAUUUGGGAGAGGGAUGCGGAAUUCCAGGUGUAGCGGUGAAAUGCGUAGAUAUCUGGAGGAACACCGGUGGCGAAGGCGGCAUCCUGGACCAAUACUGACGCUGAGGAGCGAAAGCGUGGGGAGCGAACAGG